rnacentral:lncRNA from 1 species
AGAUCCAAGAGUAGCAAGAACGGAUGACGAAGGAGGCUUUUUAGGAGGGUCUUGCGAUUCCUAAGAGGCUCAGAAGUGGGAAGAAAAAAGACGAGCAAGUGGGGUAGAGACAGUCCCGAAAGGACAGCAAGAAGACUAGGUACUACAAGUGUGAUGUAGCAAGACAGUCUCAGCUGGAGUGUCUGCUUAAGAAAAAGAGAGGAGAAAGGAAAAACUCAGAUUUCAUUGGUUCAGUCACUG